GGCUCAGAACGAACGCUGGCGGCGCGCUUAAGCAUGCAAGUCGAACGGCAAGAGGUAGCAAUACCUCCUAGAGUGGCGGACUGGUGAGUAACACGUGGGUGACAUACCCUUCAGAUGGGGAUAGCUAUUAGGAAUAGUAGAUAAUACCGAAUACGAGCACAGGGGUUAGAGAUCUGUGAGGAAAGGAGCUAAGGCUCCGCUGAAGGAAUGGCCUGCGGCCCAUUAGCUAGUUGGUGAGGUAAGAGCCCACCAAGGCGAUGAUGGGUAUCCGGCCUUAGAGGGUGAACGGACACAUUGGGACUGAGAUACGGCCCAGACUCCUACGGGAGGCAGCAGCUAAGAAUAUUCCGCAAUGGACGAAAGUCUGACGGAGCGACGCCGCGUGGAUGAAGAAGGCCGGAAGGUUGUAAAAAUCCUUUUGAAACUGAAGAAUAAGCGUUGUAGGGAAUGACAGCGUGGUGACAGUAGGUUUUGAAUAAGCAACGGCUAAUUACGUGCCAGCAGCGGC
rnacentral:rRNA from 1 species